AAGCCAGUCAAUGAAUUUGCUUACCUGAAUGUGUUUAUACAGAAAUUUAGUAAACGCUGGCCAAAGGAAAGCCAUGUUACGAGGCUUAAAGACACUGAAGUCUUUAAGGUCCCUGAAAAUGGCAACAAGA
ensembl:snoRNA